AGCACAGUGAGCAAAAACUGUAGAAUCUUCAUGUGAAAAUUGUGUAGUUAAAUAAAGUUCUUCAAGAGAGUCACACUGGAUCUGUUCUGUUGUGACUCGCGAGCAUCAGGUUGCACAAUCAGUUCGCUCACAACAUAGUGAUGGAUUCCAUUAAAAUGGUGCAAAGAAACACUAAAGCUAAAAGCAGCAAAUAGCAGCAGCAGUAAAUUAAUACAAUUUUAUUUGUUACUAAGCCUGUUAGCCUGCUGCGUUUCUCUGUUCCAUUUACUUUUCAUAGCUUUUGUCUACUACAACAAUUUGGGCAUAAACAGAGGUCGGAGCCAAGUGGGUGGGACUUAAGCUCCAAGUGGGCCGGUCAGCUCCAAAUGGGUGGCACUUGAGCCCCAAGUAGGAUGUUGAAACCUCCUGUGGACAAUGAUUAAUUGAUUAAAUGCCUUGUACAUGAGCUGAAUGUGGUAGUGUGUGAAUUUUGUUUCAAAUCGUUUGUGAAAAUGAAGAGACGACAUCCGCAUGGUUUUGAUGGCAGCUAACAGCGCUGAGUUGGAGAGGCUGAGUUCAUGGCGGCAAUAUUCACAGGCUGCAGUGGUUGCUGGGAGUUCGAGUUGCUCUCAGGCUGAAAUCUGACAAACACAAGGAUUCUGUGUAUUGAUGUUUUUGUAGCAGCAACGUUAGAAAUGUAAAAUUAAUGAGGUGUAUCAAGUAUUAUUAUUAUUAUUAUUAUUAUUAUUAUAUAAUUAUUAUUAUUAUUAUUAUACAGUACUGUGAAAAUG